rnacentral:lncRNA from 1 species
UUUCAUGUGGCUCAUGCAUUCUGUGCUUGUAAUAUAGCUAGGUUUUGAUGUACUUAAUCUCAUUUGUUAUUGUUUGCAGAGGGCAAGACUGACUACAGGGCCAGGAUUAGGCUCACCAACCAAGAUAAGAACAAGUACAACACACCGAAGUACCGCUUCGUUGUGAGAUUUGUAUCCUUUUAGUUCUUUUUAUCAUGGUAUUUAUGCAUUUCCUCGUAAAUUCUGGUUGUUAUACCAUAUCUUUAUUAUUAUCAUACUGUAUGCCUUAAUAGUACAUUAGACAAACAAAGAUAUCACAGCUCAAAUUGUCUAUGCUACCAUUGCGGGUGAUAUCGUGAUGGCUGCUGCCUACUCCCAUGAGCUGCCUCGUUAUGGUCUUGAAGUUGGUCUCACCAACUAUGCGGCAGGUAGUUUCCUCAGCUGAAUGAAUAUGCAGAAUGCUGGUUUGUCUUGCUGUAUGC